rnacentral:rRNA from 1 species
UCAAAGGAAUUGACGGGGGCCCGCACAAGCGGUGGAGCAUGUGGUUUAAUUNGAAGCAACGCGCAGAACCUUACCAGCCCUUGACAUACCGGUUGCGAGUUCCAGAGAUGGAUCUUUUCAGUUCGGGCUGGACCGGAUACAGGUGCUGCAUGGCUGUCGUCAGCUCGUGUCGUGAGAUGUUGGGUUAAGUCCCGCAACGAGCGCAACCCUCGCCCCUAGUUGCCAUCAUUCAGUUGGGCACUCUAGGGGAACUGCCGGUGAUAAGCCGGAGGAAGGUGGGGAUGACGUCAAGUCCUCAUGGCCCUUAUGGGCUGGGCUACACACGUGCUACAAUGGCGGUGACAAUGGGUUGCGAGCUCGCGAGAGUUAGCUAAUCCCCAAAAACCGUCUCAGUUCGGAUUGUUCUCUGCAACUCGAGAGCAUGAAGGUGGAAUCGCUAGUAAUCGUGGAUCAGCAUGCCACGGUGAAUACGUUGCCCGGGCCUUGUACACACCGCCCGUCACACCAUGGGAGUUGGUUUUACCCGAAGCUGGUGAGCUAACCUUUAGGGGGCAGCCAA